rnacentral:rRNA from 1 species
GAUGAACGCUAGCUACAGGCUUAACACAUGCAAGUCGAGGGGAAACGACAUUGGAAGCUUGCUUCCGAUGGGCGUCGACCGGCGCACGGGUGAGUAACGCGUAUCCAACCUGCCCAUCACUUGGGGAUAACCUUGCGAAAGUAAGACUAAUACCCAAUGAUAUCUCUAGAAGACAUCUGAAAGGGAUUAAAGAUUUAUCGGUGAUGGAUGGGGAUGCGUCUGAUUAGCUUGUUGGCGGGGUAACGGCCCACCAAGGCGACGAUCAGUAGGGGUUCUGAGAGGAAGGUCCCCCACAUUGGAACUGAGACACGGUCCAAACUCCUACGGGAGGCAGCAGUGAGGAAUAUUGGUCAAUGGGCGAGGGCCUGAACCAGCCAAGUAGCGUGCAGGAUGACGGCCCUAUGGGUUGUAAACUGCUUUUAUAAGGGAAUAAAGUGAGUCUCGUGAGACUUUUUGCAUGUACCUUAUGAAUAAGGACCGGCUAAUUCCGUGCCAGCCGCCGCAGUAA